UACGGAGGGUGCAAGCGUUGUCCGGAUUUAUUGGGUUUAAAGGGUGCGUAGGCGGCCCGUUAAGUCAGUGGUGAAAGCCUCCAGCUCAACUGGAGAACUGCCAUUGAUACUGACGGGCUUGAGUACAGACGAGGUUGGCGGAAUUGAUUGUGUAGCGGUGAAAUGCAUAGAUACAAUCAAGAACACCGAUUGCGAAGGCAGCUGCCUAGACUGUAACUGACGCUGAGGCACGAAAGCGUGGGGAGCGAACAGG
rnacentral:rRNA from 1 species